GAUGAACGCUAGCGGCAGGCCUAAUACAUGCAAGUCGAACGGUGUCUUCGGACAUAGUGGCGCACGGGUGCGUAACACGUAUGCAACCUACCUUACAUUGGGGGAUAGCCUUUCGAAAGGGAGAUUAAUACCGCAUAAGACAGUAGCUGGGCAUCCAGCAGCUGUUAAAGAUUUAUCGAUGUAAGCUGGGCAUGCGUCCAAUUAGCUAGUUGGUAAGGUAACGGCUCACCAAGGCAAUGAUUGGUAGGGGAACUGAGAGGUCAAUCCCCCACACUGGCACUGAGAUACGGUCCAAACUCCUACGGGAGGCAGCAGUAGGGAAUAUUGGGCAAUGGACGCAAGUCUGUCCCAGCCAUGCCGCGUGCAGGAUGAAGGCGUUAUGCGUUGUAAACUGCUUUUAUACAGGAAGAAACGACUCUUGCGAGAGGCAUUGACGGUACUGUAUGAAUAAGCACCGGCUAACUCCGUGCCAGCCGCCGCAGUAACAC
rnacentral:rRNA from 1 species